UAAACGGACCAUCGAGUAUCCAUUGGAGGGCAAGUCUGGUGCCAGCAGCUGCGGUAAUACCAGCUCCAAUAGCGUAUAUUAAAGUUGUUGCAGUUAAAAAGCUCGUAGUUGGACUUGUGUGCGCUGUCCGCGGGUGGCCUGCGCCCAAAAGGGCGUUUCGGUUCGGCCCCGGUGGCGCCUUGAAAUCUGCAGCUGGGGGGACGUUGGCCUUAACUGGUCGGCGACCGCACGCCGGCUGCUCGGUUACUGUGAGAAAAUUAGAGUGUUCAAGGCAGGCAUUGGGUGCAAUUGAAUACAUUAGCAUGGAAUAAUAAAAUAUGGCUCCUGCCGUAUUUUGUUGGUUUUGGCUGGUGGGAGUAAUGAUUGAUAGGGACGGUUGGGGGUGCUAGUAUUGAGCGGCCAGAGGUGAAAUUCAUGGAUUCGCUCAAGACUAACUUAUGCGAAAGCAUUCACCAAGGACGUCCUCUUUAAUCAAGAACGAAAGUUGGGGGAUCGAAGACGAUCAGAUACCGUCGUAGUCUCAACCAUAAACUAUGUCGACUUGGGAUCGGCGGUAGUUUUUUUCAUUAAGACACUGUCGGGACCACGGGAGAAAUCAAAGUGUCUGGACUCUGGGGGAAGUAUGGUCGCAAGGCUGAAACUUGAAGGAAUUGACGGAAGGGCACCACCAGGAGUGGAGCCUGCGGCUUAAUUUGACCCAACACGGGGAAACUUACCAGGUCCAGAGAUGUAGAGGAUUGACAGAUUGAAGCUCUUUCUUGAUCACUUCGGUGGUGGUGCAUGGCCGUUCUUAGUUGGUGGAGUGAUUUGUCUGGUUAAUUCCGUUAACGAACGAGACCUCAGCCUGCUAGUGUAGUCGGCUGGAUUGCCUUUGGCGAUCCGUGAUUUCGACUUCUUAGAGGGACAAUCGACGCGCAGUCGAUGGAAGUUUGAGGCAGUAAUAGGUCUGCGAUGCCCUUAGAUGUUCUGGGCCGCACGCGCGCUACACUGCUGGGCUCAGCGAGUUUUACUUGGCCGAGAGGCCCGGUUAAUCUUGGAAAUCCCAGCGUGCUUGGGCUCGCCUCCUGCAACUGGAGGCGCCAACGAGGAAUUCCUAGUAGACGCAGGUCAUCAACCUGCAUCGAUUACGUCCCUGCCCUUUGUACACACCGCCCGUCGUUCCAUAAGAGUGAGGCAUCCGGUGAAUUCUCGGGAGAGCCUGGGCGUGGCCAGCAAUGGUCUGCUCGGGUUUGAACUUGCAUAAACUUGGUGCCUAUGAUUAGGG
rnacentral:rRNA from 1 species